AGAGAGAGACAUGCGCGCAUAUCAAUAAGCGGAGGAAAAGAAACUAACAAGGAUUCCCUUAGUAACGGCGAGUGAAGCGGGAAGAGCUCAAAUUUGAAAUCUUCAAGGUUUUACCUCGACGAAUUGUAGUUUAAAGAAGUGUUUUCUGCUGAAGUUUUGGUAAAAGUUCUUUGGAAUAGGACAUCAUAGAGGGUGAGAAUCCCGUAUUUGACCAUUAUUUUCAGCUUUGUGAUACACUUUCAAAGAGUCGGAUUGUUUGGGAAUGCAGUCCAAAAUGGGUGGUAAAUUUCAUCUAAAGCUAAAUAUUGGCGAGAGACCGAUAGCGAACAAGUACCGUGAGGGAAAGAUGAAAAGAACUUUGAAAAGAGAGUUAAACAGUACGUGAAAUUGUCAAAGGGGAAGCGUUUGACACCAGUGUUGUUUUCUCGAAAAUCAAUUAAAAAUGGCUCGAUUUUGUAUUGUUGAGACCUUAAAAGCUCACUGUACAUUUUUCGUGUCUUUUUUAAUGCACUUUUCGUUUAACAAGGUCAACAUCAGUUUCUUUCGUUGUAAAAGGGUCAUUGGAAGGUGGCUUUCUUUUCGGAGAAAGUGUUUAUAGCCUUUGGCCUCUGCAAUCGGAGAGACUGAGGUCUGCAGCGUAGACUCUUCGGGGUUAGAUACAUUUGUGCUAAGUUAUAGCUUUUUAUAGACAACUUGUUGACUAUAAUUAGUCUUGUAGCUUACUCGCUUAUGCUAUUCUACCUACGCUUAGGAUGUUGAAGAUGUAGCACAUCAU
rnacentral:rRNA from 1 species